AAAGCCUUUGGAUGAAUUUCCUGUCAAGCCAAGCUGUUUUGAAAGGGGUGUAUGGGGUUUUAAUACCUGAUCAGCCAUAAUACCCUAGUACAGCUGUAUCACACUGGCUUAUGUGAAGGAAAUUGUGUGAUAAUGUACCCUGGACAUCUAGUGGACCAGAUUUCAUGCUUGGGUCAGUCUGGACAGGAAGAGAAGGCAGUGCUUCGUUAUUAACAGCUUAAAGGAAAAUAUGGAAAUAUAUUGAAAUGAACGAGGAAGCUCCCAGUGAUAUGACUCAAGUUUGAUCGUCAAGAUGUCAGAUGAUAGGUGUCAAUCACAUUUCUGUAACACCUGUGUGACACACCUGACUCACUACACCUACCUGUCGGUAAUGAUUUCCCAUAUUAUGCGAAGUCAGCAGAAAUUCAGAACAGUGAAGGGUUUUAUUGAAACACAACACAUUUACAGCCACAGCCUCUGACAUUUUCCGUUGGCAGCCACAGACUGAGGAUGUAGGCUGGUACAGCCAUUUAUCAACUAAGACCAUCCAAUGUUUUGCCUGUCACCUUCACUUCCUUCCACAGUCUGGGUAUCGAAAUUCCAGAUUUUUAACCAAAUGUAAUAAAGUGGACCAGUCCUGCCAAGCUGGGGACCAAAAUGAUGGAUGAUAGCUUAUUAAUGCCCAUAUGACCUUCAUUCCUGUCAGCUUCAUAUGGUCCUUCCACAGCAUCACAGACACUCUGCAGAGCCAACAGACCACAAACUUUCUUAUACCCCCUCCCCUAAUUUUAAUCAGAUUGAAUUCAAACACAUUCCAUACAUUCAUAAAUUUUACAUGUUCAUUUCACUUGUACAUUUCAGACUGAAACUGACGAGUGUAUGUUUGCGUCUAUUGCGCUAUAAGCGAGGUGUCAGUGUCAAGGAGCAGUUCAUACAUUUAUGCAUUUGUUUCUUCAGUUGUAUUGAUCUGGGCCUGUGCCACUUCUCUAAUCAUGCUAAUUGCAAUUAUCUUCGGCAAAAGCUUUGCUAUCAGGAUAGCAUUUUAUAGGCCACUGUUUGAAUAAAAAGCCAUUACAGAAGCCAGAUGCGUCAAUAGUUUUAGCAUCAGACUGACGUGAUAAGCACCCUGUUUCUGCUCUUCCUGAUGGUGCUAAUGUACCACCAGAGGGAUGCUGGUCAGUGUGCUAUGGACAACAGUGGUCAGUGGUCAGUGACAGCUGAUGAUCAGAUGUCAGUAUGAUCAUGAUAAGUCUGCAUUUGUCAAGUAUGACACCUUACUUGGUUAUCUUCUGAGAACAGCCAAUUUUUUAUUUGUUAUAUAUGGAUGUCUUAAAUGAUUCUA